UAAAAAAUCAAAAACUCUGGG
rnacentral:piRNA from 1 species